rnacentral:rRNA from 1 species
CCUACGGGUGGCAGCAGUGGGGAAUAUUGCGCAAUGGGCGAAAGCCUGACGCAGCGACGCCGCGUGAGGGAUGAAGGUCUUCGGAUCGUAAACCUCUGUCAGCAGGGAAGAACGGUCACUGUGCUAAUCAGCAGUGAAUUGACGGUACCGGCAAAGGAAGCACCGGCUAACUCCGUGCCAGAAGACGCGGUAAUACGGAGGGUGGGAGCGUUACUCGGAAUGACUGGGCGGAACGCGCUCGUAGGCGGUAGGUCAAGUCAAGGGUGAAAUCCCCGCGCUCAACGUGGGAACUGCCUUUGAAACCGGCAAACUGGAGUGUGUGAGAGGUUAGUGGAAUUCCAGGUGU